rnacentral:rRNA from 1 species
UACGUGUGGGGCAAGCGUUGUUCGGAAUUACUGGGCAUAAAGGGUGCGUAGGCGGUUUGUUAAGUCACUGGUGAAAGUUUUCGGCCCAACCGGAAAAUUGCCUGUGAUACUGGCGAACUUGAGUGCGUGAGGGGUGGGGGGAACGAGCAGUGUAGCGGUGAAAUGCGUAGAUAUUGCUCGGAAGGCCGGAGCCGAAGGGGCCCCACUGGUACGUAACUGACGCUGAGGCACGAAAGCGUGGGGAGCAAACAGG